rnacentral:lncRNA from 1 species
AACAGAACAAACACUUCCCUUAUAGCCUGACUUUGACAUCUUUGAUGUUGAAUAUUAUUCAGAGGAAAUUCCUGAUAAAAAUGAAUGAGAUUUUCAGAGGCCAGCCCUAACCCUGGAAAGAUUUAUGUAAUUACUUAAUUUCAAACACAGAGUCGCCCUACAUACUGUGCAGAGGCUAGGUCAAUAAGUGAUUCAUUUUGAACCAUUCAGUGUAAAUAAACAUUGCAACAAUCCUCAAUUUUGGCAUGGAAAACUUGAGUGGAGUGUGAAAGGUUGCCUUUUGGAUAAACCCUGUGAAUAGCAUCCAUUCAGGCCAUAAAUUUUGGUUCAGGGAAACUGUAAACUCUGAAUUUUUAACCCUCUGGAGCCAGUUGUAUCUCUUAAAAGAAUGCCUAAGGAUCUAGAUCUACAUCUAAUGCAAAAUACACUAACUCUGUUAAUUUCAGGAGCUGCAGGAGAGGAGGAGGGUCAGAAGCACUCUCCAUUCAAGGCUAUUAAACAACUAACUUAA